UACGUAGGGUGCAAGGCGUUUAAUCGGAAUUACUGGGCGUAAAGCGUGCGCAGGCGGUGAUGUAAGACAGGUGUGAAAUCCCCGGGCUCAACCUGGGAACUGCAUUUGUGACUGCAUCGCUGGAGUGCGGCAGAGGGGGAUGGAAUUCCGCGUGUAGCAGUGAAAUGCGUAGAUAUGCGGAGGAACACCGGUGGCGAAGGCGGCUCACUGGCUCAUUUCUGACGCUCAGGCGCGACAGCGUGGGGAGUCAAACAGG
rnacentral:rRNA from 1 species